GAUGAACGCUAGCGGCAGGCCUAACACAUGCAAGUCGAGGGGUAGAGGAAGCUUGCUUCCUUGAAACCGGCGCACGGGUGCGUAACGCGUAUGCAAUCUACCUCUUACAGAGGGAUAGCCCAGAGAAAUUUGGAUUAAUACCUCAUAGUAUCUUUGCCUGGCAUCGGGUGAUUAUUAAAGUUCCAACGGUAAAAGAUGAGCAUGCGUCCUAUUAGCUAGAUGGUAAGGUAACGGCUUACCGUGGCAACGACAGGUAGGGGUCCUGAGAGGGAGAUCCCCCACACUGGUACUGAGACACGGACCAGACUCCUACGGGAGGCAGCAGUGAGGAAUAUUGGACAAUGGGCGCAAGCUUGAUCCAGCCAUGCCGCGUGCAGGAAGACGGUCCUAUGGAUUGUAAACUGCUUUUGUACGGGAAGAAACACUCCUACGUGUAGGAGCUUGACGGUACCGUAAGAAUAAGCACCGGCUAACUCCGUGCCAGCAGCCGCUGUAACAC
rnacentral:rRNA from 1 species